rnacentral:rRNA from 1 species
AUACGUAGGGGGCGAGCGUUGUCCGGAAUGAUUGGGCGUAAAGGGCGCGUAGGCGGCCCGGUAAGUCUGGAGUGAAAGUCCUGUUUUUAAGAUGGGAAUUGCUUUGGAUACUGUCGGGCUUGAGUGCAGGAGAGGUAAGUGGAAUUCCCAGUGUAGCGGUGAAAUGCGUAGAGAUUGGGAGGAACACCAGUGGCGAAGGCGGCUUACGGGACUGUAACUGACGUUGAGGCUCGAAAGCGUGGGGAGCAAACAGGAUUAGAUACCCUGGUAGUCCACACUGUAAACGAUGAAUGCUAGGUGUAGGGGGUAUCGACCCCUUCUGUGCCGCAGUCAACACAAUAAGCAUUCCGCCUGGGGAGUACGGCCGCAAGGUUGAAACUCAAAUGAAUUGGCGGGG